rnacentral:lncRNA from 1 species
CUCAAUACCAUAACGUUGAUAAUAUCCUUAGACAACUAGAUGAGCUUUGUAGGUCUCCACUUUCUCGUCUGUACCCUCUGAUCUUAUUGAAGAUCCACUUACACUCUAUGGGCUUUACCCUUUCGAGUGGAUCAAUGAGUAUCCAUACACCGUUGAUCAUUAUGGAUGCCAUUUUGGACUUUAUGGCUCCAAGCCACUAAUCAG